rnacentral:rRNA from 1 species
UGAGGAAUAUUGGACAAUGGAUGGAAAUCUGAUCCAGCCAUGCCGCGUGCAGGAAGACGGCCCUAUGGGUUGUAAACUGCUUUUGUAUGGGAGCAAUAAGGACUACGUGUAGUUUGAUGAGAGUACCAUACGAAUAAGGAUCGGCUAACUCCGUGCCAGCAGCCGCGGUAAUACGGAGGAUCCGAGCGUUAUCCGGAUUUAUUGGGUUUAAAGGGUGCGUAGGCGGAAAGAUAAGUCAGCCUGUGAAAGUUUGCGGCUCAACCGUAAAAUUGCAGUUGAUACUGUUUUUCUUGAGUGUACAUAAGGUAGGCGGAAUUCGUGGUGUAGCGGUGAAAUGCUUAGAUAUCACGAAGAACUCCGAUUGCGAAGGCAGCUUACCGGGGUACAACUGACGCUGAUGCACGAAAGUGUGGGUAUCAAACA